rnacentral:rRNA from 1 species
UACGAAGGGGACUAGCGUUGUUCGGAAUUACUGGGCGUAAAGCGCGCGUAGGCGGAUCGCUAAGUCAGGGGUGAAAUCCCAGGGCUCAACCCUGGAACUGCCUUUGAUACUGACGAUCUGGAGAUCGGGAGAGGUUGGUGGAGUUCCGAGUGUAGAGGUGAAAUUCGUAGAUAUCGGAGGAACACCAGAAGCGAAGGCGGCCAACUGGCCCGAUACUGGACCGGCUGAGG